UGUCUGGGCUGCACACGUGCUACAAUGGCCGGUACAAUGAGCUGCGAUGCCGUGAGGUGGAGCGAAUCUCAAAAAGCCGGUCUCAGUUCGGAUUGGGGUCUGCAACUCGACCCCAUGAAGUCGGAGUCGCUAGUAAUCGCAGAUCAGCAUUGCUGCGGUGAAUACGUUCCCGGGCCUUGUACACACCGCCCGUCACGUCACGAAAGUCGGUAACACCCGAAGCCGGCGGCCUAACCCCUUGUGGGAGGGAGUCGUCGAAGGUGGGACUGGCGAUUGGGACGAAGUCGUAACAAGGUAGCCGUACCGGAAGGUGCGGCUGGAUCACCUCCUUUCUAAGGAGCACUUCCUACCGCCAGGUUCUGGUGGUCAGGGGGCCGGUUCAUCGGCGAGUGUCCGGUGCCGGUUGCUCAUGGGUGGAACGUUGACUAUUCGGCACUUCCGGUUCGCCGGCCUGGUUCUAGUACGGCUCUUUCGAGGGCAUGGAACGAUCGGGUCGGGAUCGGGGGUGUCGGGCACGCUGUUGGGCUCUCAGGGAAUGGUUUUGUUCCCUUGAGUGUUGGUUGUUUGAGAACUGCAUAGUGAACGCGAGCAUCUGUGGCCAAGUUUUUAAGGGCGC
rnacentral:sRNA from 1 species